rnacentral:rRNA from 1 species
UACGGAGGGUGCAAGCGUUAUCCGGAUUCACUGGGUUUAAAGGGUGCGUAGGCGGGUAAGUAAGUCCGUGGUGAAAUCUCUGAGCUUAACUCAGAAACUGCCGUGGAUACUAUUUGCCUUGAAUAUUGUGGAGGUGAGCGGAAUAUGUCAUGUAGCGGUGAAAUGCUUAGAUAUGUCAUAGAACACCAAUUGCGAAGGCAGCUCACUACACAAUCAUUGACGCUGAGGCACGAAAGCGUGGGGAUCAAACAGG